rnacentral:lncRNA from 10 species
CGUGACUGAGAGCCUAGGCGCCAAGGGGAGGAGAGGGUAAUCGCCAAGGCUUCCCAGGGGAGAAAUCGAGGGGUUAAGGGAACCAGAUCGAAGAGGGCCAAGGCCCAGCAGGGUGCCUGAAGAAGCCGAUUCUCCUGCCCAGGAUCCCUGAGGUUCGAAGGAUGCUUCAUGCAGGGUGGCCUUGUCUCUCACCCGGCGUGCAGGAUCCAGACCUAGGCAGGCCGAGGACACCGGUGACCAACGGCCGGGCCGGUCCAGCCCGGGUCCUGCCCUAGUCCCGAAGUUUCCUGGGAUUGGCUGCCGGCCCCGCGGCCCCCCUCCCCGCCCCGCCCCGCCCCGCCCCGCCCCGUCCCGUCCCGCCCGGAGUCUUCCCUACGCCCAAAGCGCAGGUAUGUUACUAGUCUUGAGCGGGAGGAAAUUACCCAGCCCGGAGCACCUGGCCUGUUGGACGAGUGGGUUCCUGGUGCCUGAAUCCGGCAGUCCGCCCUGCGGUGCCCCGCCCCGCCCCGCCCCAGCCCGGGAUCUUCCCGGUCCUCGUGCGUCCCCGCUCCAGUCAGUUCCCGCCGCGCGCCUUCUUCUUGGUCUUCUGGCCAGGCGGGGAUCGUCGGCCAGUUUGUCCCGAGGAGUUGCGCUGGCAGACGCGCCGCUACUUUGUAGCGGGUUUCGGGCGGGUAGCGCGCGCGGCGGCAGGAACCCAACCCCGGCAGACCCUGGGCUCCAAGAAUUCGUCUUCUACGUCUGCGGAGGUGCGGCAGCCUCAGUUCCAAGCGCAGGAAGGCAAUAGAGGCUGUGUUCCAAACCUUUCCCUCACGGUCGUCUACUGCCUACUGACCAUCCUGGUGUCUUUCCCUGUAUGGCUGGCAUGGUUCCCGUCUUUAGGUCUUGUAAGUAUAAUGCUUUAUUUUUUCUUGAGCCUCUCCUAUGUCUGCCCUUUGUGAGCACACUAGAUAAAGAAGUCCAUUUGGUCCCAUGUCUAAUCCAUAGCAUAAUUGCUUGGCCCUCUUUGGUAGCCAUGUCUUUUUUAGGUUGUGGGGCAUUUGCCCGACAAUAAACAUGAGUAAGAGAUAAGGGUAGGGUCGCAAGCUGGGUGGAGGAGAGACAGGGAGUCCAUUUUUGUCUGCCCAUUUAGCAGUUUUCUGAGUCCUACCAUUCCAUAAAGAUACUCUAUCAGUUUCCUGAGUGUUGCGCAAUGAAUAAUAACAAUUUAUAUAGGAAAAUAAAUAGCUAUAAUCGGAUAGCAAUUAUAUGCCCAUUGGUGAUGGGAGUAUCUGCUGAGGUCGAGAAUCUGUGGGGAGUAGGGCGCAGUGGCUCACUCCCGUAAUCUCAGCACUUUGGGAGGCCGAGG